rnacentral:rRNA from 1 species
UUGAUCCUGGCUCAGAUUGAACGCUGGCGGCAUGCCUUACACAUGCAAGUCGAACGGCAGCACGGGUGCUUGCACCUGGUGGCGAGUGGCGAACGGGUGAGUAAUACAUCGGAACAUGUCCUGUAGUGGGGGAUAGCCCGGCGAAAGCCGGAUUAAUACCGCAUACGAUCUACGGAUGAAAGCGGGGGACUUCGGGCCUCGCGCUAUAGGGUUGGCCGAUGGCUGAUUAGCUAGUUGGUGGGGUAAAGGCCUACCAAGGCGACGAUCAGUAGCUGGUCUGAGAGGACGACCAGCCACACUGGGACUGAGACACGGCCCAGACUCUACGGGAGGCAGCAGUGGGGAAUUUUGGACAAUGGGCGAAAGCCUGAUCCAGCAAUGCCGCGUGUGUGAAGAAGGCCUUCGGGUUGUAAAGCACUUUUGUCCGGAAAGAAAUCCUUGGCUCUAAUACAGUCGGGGGAUGACGGUACCGGAAGAAUAAGCACCGGCUAACUACGUGCCAGCAGCCGCGGUAAUACGUAGGGUGCAAGCGUUAAUCGGAAUUACUGGGCGUAAAGCGUGCGCAGGCGGUUUGCUAAGACCGAUGUGAAAUCCCCGGGCUCAACCUGGGAACUGCAUUGGUGACUGGCAGGCUAGAGUAUGGCAGAGGGGGGUAGAAUUCCACGUGUAGCAGUGAAAUGCGUAGAGAUGUGGAGGAAUACCGAUGGCGAAGGCAGCCCCCUGGGCCAAUACUGACGCUCAUGCACGAAAGCGUGGGGAGCAAACAGGAUUAGAUACCCUGGUAGUCCACGCCCUAAACGAUGUCAACUAGUUGUUGGGGAUUCAUUUCCUUAGUAACGUAGCUAACGCGUGAAGUUGACCGCCUGGGGAGUACGGUCGCAAGAUUAAAACUCAAAGGAAUUGACGGGGACCCGCACAAGCGGUGGAUGAUGUGGAUUAAUUCGAUGCAACGCGAAAAACCUUACCUACCCUUGACAUGGUCGGAAUCCUGCUGAGAGGUGGGAGUGCUCGAAAGAGAACCGGCGCACAGGUGCUGCAUGGCUGUCGUCAGCUCGUGUCGUGAGAUGUUGGGUUAAGUCCCGCAACGAGCGCAACCCUUGUCCUUAGUUGCUACGCAAGAGCACUCUAAGGAGACUGCCGGUGACAAACCGGAGGAAGGUGGGGAUGACGUCAAGUCCUCAUGGCCCUUAUGGGUAGGGCUUCACACGUCAUACAAUGGUCGGAACAGAGGGUUGCCAACCCGCGAGGGGGAGCUAAUCCCAGAAAACCGAUCGUAGUCCGGAUUGCACUCUGCAACUCGAGUGCAUGAAGCUGGAAUCGCUAGUAAUCGCGGAUCAGCAUGCCGCGGUGAAUACGUUCCCGGGUCUUGUACACACCGCCCGUCACACCAUGGGAGUGGGUUUUACCAGAAGUGGCUAGUCUAACCGCAAGGAGGACGGUCACCACGGUAGGAUUCAUGACUGGGGUGAAGUCGUAACAAGGUAGUA